rnacentral:rRNA from 1 species
UACGUAGGGGCCAAGCGUUGUCCGGAUUUAUUGGGCGUAAAGAGCUCGUAGGCGGUUCGGCAAGUCAGCUGUGAAAUCUCCACGCUCAACGUGGAGGGGUCAGCUGAUACUGCUGUGACUCGAGUCCGGUAGGGGAGUGUGGAAUUCCCGGUGUAGCGGUGAAAUGCGCAGAUAUCGGGAGGAACACCAGUGGCGAAGGCGGCGAUCUGGGCAGAUAUUGACGCUGAGGUGCGAAAGCGUGGGGAGCAAACAGG